rnacentral:RNase_P_RNA from 1 species
AAAGCCUGCCGGGCCGUCGCCGGUGCAAGUCCCGAAAGGGCGCACUGGAGGAACGUCCGGACUGCACAGGGCAGCGCAGGAGGUAACACCUCUCCACCGCGAGGUGAGGAUCAGAGCAACAGAGACGAGCUUGGAAAGCAAGUUCAGGGUGUUCUAUGACAAGGCGGCGAAAGCCGCCCGUCGCAACGGUUUGCGUUGCGACUCUGCCGCAAGGCAGGAGCGACAUAGCCACCUUGGGCAGCAGAGCUGACCAAGGUGAAACGGGCAAUCUCUGCGCGCAGCAAUGCCAAAUAGGCCAGCGAUGAAACGGCACCGUUGAGUUGGCGGGUAGGCAGCACCGAGCCGCGGGGGCGACCCCCGGCCCAGAGGAAUGGCGGCCCACGGCGUUUCCCGCCGUGCACAGAAUCCGGCGUACAGGCAGGCUUUACUU